rnacentral:rRNA from 1 species
GAGACAGCAGUAGCCGCGGGAACACGUAGGGUGCGAGCGUUAAUCGGAAUUACUGGGCGUAAAGCGUGCGCAGGCGGUUCGUUAAGACAGAUGUGAAAUCCCCGGGCUUAACCUGGGAACUGCAUUUGUGACUGGCGAGCUAGAGUAUGGCAGAGGGGGGUAGAAUUCCACGUGUAGCAGUGAAAUGCGUAGAGAUGUGGAGGAAUACCGAUGGCGAAGGCAGCCCCCUGGGCCAAUACUGACGCUCAUGCACGAAGCGUGGGGAGCAAACAGGAUUAGAUACCCGCGUAGUCCCUGUCUCUUAUACA